CCUACGGGUGGCAGCAGUGAGGAAUAUUGGUCAAUGGGCGCGAGCCUGAACCAGCCAAGUAGCGUGAAGGAUGAAUGCCCUACGGGUUGUAAACUUCUUUUAUAAAGGAAUAAAGUGAGGCACGAGUGCCUUUUUGUAUGUACUUUAUGAAUAAGGAUCGGCUAACUCCGUGCCAGCAGCCGCGGUAAUACGGAGGAACCGAGCGUUAUCCGGAUUUAUUGGGUUUAAAGGGAGCGUAGAUGGGUUGUUAAGUCAGUGGUUAAAGGUUGCGGCUCAACCGUAAAAUUGCAAUUGAUACUGGCAGUCUUGAGUACAGAUGAGGUAGGCGGAAUUCGUGGUGUAGCGGUGAAAUGCUUAGAUAUCGCGAAGAACUCCGAUUGCGAAGGCAGCUUACUAAACUGCCACUGACAUUGAUGCUCGAAAGUGUGGGUAUCAAACAGGAUUAGAUACCCGAGUAGUC
rnacentral:rRNA from 1 species